rnacentral:rRNA from 1 species
UGUCUCAGUUCGGAUUGGAGCUGNAACCCGACUCCAUGAAGCUGGAUUCGCUAGUAAUCGCGCAUCAGCCACGGCGCGGUGAAUACGUUCCCGGGCCUUGUACACACCGCCCGUCAAGCCAUGGAAGCCGGGGGGUGCCUGAAGUGCGCUGCCGCGAGGAGCGCCCUAGGAUAAAACCGGUGACUGGGGCUAAGUCGUAACAAGGUAGC